ACUUCCGGUUCACUUGACGCAACGUUUGUGGACCUGACACCACUUACAGUACCCUUCAAACCAAACGCGCUCCUUCAGAGCAUUCUCAUCGGAUAAUGUGCACGAGUGGUGGGGGUGUCCCUAUGGAUUUCUUGCUUGGAGCCCCAAGAGACCAUAGCAACUACACUGCUAACAGAUGUCACUGAAGAUCUUCACCCUGAAAUGCAUAAUCCCACCAACGUUGUAUAGAAGGACAAAUUGGAGAU